rnacentral:rRNA from 1 species
GGAAAUCCGGUCCGCAUCGAGGGCGAGGCUCCGGACGAAGCACUUAAGCGAAGCGAGUGAGCCCGAGGUCCCUAGAAAAACCCCUAGGCAGGCGCGUGCGCGCCCGUACCGCAAACCGACACAGGUGGGUGGGUAGAACAUACCGAGGCGAUCGGGUCAACCAUGGUCAAGGAACUCGGCACAAUGGCCCCGUAACUUCGGGAGAAGGGGUGCCCGCGCGUACGUGAACGGACUUGCUCCGGGAGCGGAGGCGGGCCGCAGUGGAGAGGCCCAAGCGACUGUUUACCAAAAACACAGGACUCUGCAGAAGCCGCAAGGCGACGUAUAGGGUCUGACGCCUGCCCGGUGCCGGAAGGUCACGCGGAGGAGUUAGCGCACCGCGCGAAGCCCCGAAGCCAAGCCCCGGUAAACGGCGGCCGUAACUAUAACGGUCCUAAGGUAGCGAAAUUCCUUGUCGGGUAAGUUCCGACCUGCACGAAAGGCGCAACGACUUGGGCGCUGUCUCGACCAUGGACCCGGUGAAAUUGCACUGGUCGUGAAGAUGCGACUUACCCGCGGAAGGACGGAAAGACCCCGUGAACCUUCACUGCAGCUUGGCAUUGGCCGCUGGUCCCGCGUGUAGAGGAUAGGCAGGAGGCGAAGAUCCGGAGGCGCCAGCCCCCGGGGAGCCGCCCUUGGAAUACUGCCCUCGCGCGACCGGCGUCCUAACCCGAGGCCGUCAACCGGCUCGGGGACCGUGCCAGGCGGGCAGUUUGACUGGGGCGGUCGCCUCCUAAAGGGUAACGGAGGCGCGCGAAGGUCCGCUCGGGACGGUCGGCAACCGUCCUUUUGAAUGCAAGAGUACAAGCGGGCUUGACUGCGAGGCCCACAAGCCGAGCAGGUGCGAAAGCAGGCUCUAGUGAUCCGGCGGCCCCGAGUGGGUGGGCCGUCGCUCAACGGAUAAAAGGUACUCCGGGGAUAACAGGCUGAUCUUGCCCAAGAGUCCACAUCGACGGCAAGGUUUGGCACCUCGAUGUCGGCUCAUCGCAUCCUGGGGCCGGAGCAGGUCCCAAGGGUACGGCUGUUCGCCGUUUAAAGCGGUACGCGAGCUGGGUUCAGAACGUCGUGAGACAGUUCGGUCCCUAUCCUCCGUGGGCGCAGGAGAAUCGAUGGAGGCUGCCCCCAGUACGAGAGGACCGGGGUGGACGCACCUCCGGUGAACCGGUUGUCGACCAACGGCACGGCCGGGUAGCCGCGUGCGGCGCGGAUAACCGCUGAAGGCAUCUAAGCGGGAAGCCGUUCCAGGGAUUAGUUCUCCUUCCGGUAAGGGCCCA